AGGACGAACGCUGGCGGCGUGCUUAACACAUGCAAGUCGAGCGGAAAGGCCCUUCGGGGUACUCGAGCGGCGAACGGGUGAGUAACACGUGGGCAACCUGCCCCUAGCUCUGGGACAACUCCGGGAAACCGGGGCUAAUACCGGAUACGAUCUUCCACGGCAUCUCGGAAGAUGGAAAGUUUUUUCGGCUAGGGAUGGGCCCGCGGCCUAUCAGCUUGUUGGUGAGGUAACGGCCACCAAGGCGACGACGGGUAG
rnacentral:rRNA from 1 species